rnacentral:rRNA from 1 species
AUUGAACGCUGGCGGAAUGCUUUACACAUGCAAGUCGAGCGGCAGCGCGGGGCAACCUGGCGGCGAGCGGCGAACGGGUGAGUAACACAUCGGAACGUGCCCAGACGUGGGGGAUAGCCCGGCGAAAGCCAGAUUAAUACCGCAUACGAUCUAAGGAUGAAAGCGGGGGAUCGCAAGACCUCGCGCGUUUGGAGCGGCCGAUGGCAGAUUAGGUAGUUGGUGGGGUAAAGGCUUACCAAGCCUGCGAUCUGUAGCUGGUCUGAGAGGAUGAUCAGCCACACUGGGACUGAGACACGGCCCAGACUCCUACGGGAGGCAGCAGUGGGGAAUUUUGGACAAUGGGCGCAAGCCUGAUCCAGCCAUUCCGCGUGCAGGACGAAGGCCUUCGGGUUGUAAACUGCUUUUGUACGGAACGAAAAGGUCGUUCUCUAAUACAGGGGGCCCAUGACGGUACCGUAAGAAUAAGCGACCGCGUAACUACGUGCCAGCAGCCGCGGUAACG